GUCGAUCCUUUUGAAGGAAAUUCUUCCCUUUUCCAAGACAGAGCAGUUACGGAUGGUCUUGUCCUGUUCUCUGACCUGCAGAAGAUCUUCUUGGAGAUUAGGUGACAUCUCCAGGAGUGCUUGGAGAUGGGGGACAGAGUUCUCUGGCGACGGUGCAACUGACUGCAAUCACCCUAAAGAGAAGCAUUUAGAAGCUAUAAAACCCAAGCCCGGCAUGCCCCAUUACAUC